AACGAACGCUGGCGGCAGGCCUAACACAUGCAAGUCGAGCGCCCCGCAAGGGGAGCGGCAGACGGGUGAGUAACGCGUGGGAAUCUACCCAUCUCUACGGAAUAACGCAUGGAAACGUGUGCUAAUACCGUAUACGUCCUUCGGGAGAAAGAUUUAUCGGAGAUGGAUGAGCCCGCGUUGGAUUAGCUAGUUGGUGGGGUAAAGGCCUACCAAGGCGACGAUCCAUAGCUGGCCUGAGUGGAUGAUCAGCCACACUGGGACUGAGACACGGCCCAGACUCCUACGGGAGGCAGCAGUGGGGAAUAUUGGACAAUGGGCGCAAGCCUGAUCCAGCCAUGCUGCGUGAGUGAUGAAGGCCCUAGGGUUGUAAAGCUCUUUCACCGGUGAAGAUAACGACGGUAACCGGAGAAGAAGCCCCGGCUAACUUCGUGCCAGCCGCCGCAGUAAGAC
rnacentral:rRNA from 1 species